rnacentral:sRNA from 1 species
AUUUAAACCUGAUAGAAGCGGAAAUACUUUUUUGCAGAACAAACCAUAAAGAUUGCCACGUCGUUUCUCCUAACACUAACAAGAUAGAAUGCAUGACAGGUGUUUAAAAAAGAUUGAAGUGGAUAGCAGGACUGACA